rnacentral:ribozyme from 11 species
GAAAAAUAAAAGGAACGGAAGACUUCGUAAGGGGAUACUUGUAGCUGCCAGACAUUUUUGUCUUCCUUCUCUCCUGCUCUCUUUCUCUUCCGCUUUACCCUCUUCCAUUUCUCUUGGUUCCCCUUGCAGUUCUCUGAAGUCAUUUGGGGAGAGAGGUGCAUGAAGAGCGAAUUGGAUGAAGAGAGAAAUCAAACCAAGAGUUUGUAUCGGGAAGUUUGUGACCAUCUCUUUAUUUUUCCUUAUUUUGAUAU